GGGCAAUAGCAUGAGGACCCUUUCCCUCCCCAUCUCCCAAGGAAAUAGCCCAUGGAGGCAGAGUGGAGCAGGGAAAAGAAACAGAUCAGUAAAAUGACCUGAGGGAGAAAUUACACCCCCACCUGCUUCACUUAUCUAUCUAUCUAUCUAUCUAUCUAUCCAUCCAUCUAUCUAUCUAUCCAUUUAUUUAUUUUUUAAAAAAAAUAUACCACUUAACUAAUUGCCCCAUAAGGGUGUUUGAGUAAUAAAACGCAGAAAAGAUUUUUAAAAAUGAUUAAAAUGAGAUUUCUGUCAAAAUGCUCGCUGGAAUUUUUUUUUAAAGGUUUUGGGCAGGUGCCAGAAGUUCAGCAGGGAAGAGGACCUGUCUGACCUCAACUGGAAGGAAGGGUUGGGCCUACAAUACUGACUGCGCAGCUCCUGGUGGAUAAGGGCCAUAAAUCUGAGUAAAACCAGCCCUGAGGCUGGUGGCAGUCAGGGGGGCUUAUCUGAUCUCCAGCUGCUGGAGGCACUGCUAGGAGCAGGUGAAGCAGUGACAACUUUGGCAAAGGAGCAGUUUCCAGUGUUUCCACCUUGCAGCCACCUUGCUCCUCUUCUUCCCAGUAAGCUGCAGUGACGCAUAAGAUGCUCUGCCAACCGCUACUGCCUGUGGCUAUGCUACAUUUAGUUAAAAUUUGGCCUCAAGCCUUCUAGUUAUGGGGAAUGAAAAAAAAGAAGCCCGAAAUAAACUACUGACUGGAAACUAGCUACAUUUGAUUUAAUACAGAAUUCCUGAAAUGUUUAUUGGUGUUUUUAUAUAAGUAUUCAGCGCCAUAUUGCCAUGUCACACCAGAGAAGAAGCGCAAAUGCUUUUAUUUAUUUAUUAGUUUGUUUUCAAAGAGUGCAGGCAUUUCUUUUCUGGUUUUUGUUUUAUUUUUGCAGUGGGGGUGGGAUUGUUUUAUGUUGUCACAAUCUGCAAUAUCCCCGCAUUGCUGGAGUCUAUUAAGAUGACACCGUGGUCAGAUCUGUUCGAACUGUUGUGAUAAAUCCUUGGAGAAGGCUCGUGGGGGAAAGAAAGGGAAGCAAGAAAAGAAAAUGAGCAAAGCAAGAGCUGUUAAGAGUGAGGAUGUUUUCAAAAAGUAGGUCAGAGUUUAACUUUCUUUUAAAACAAAGAGGUCAUAUUCAUGGGACAGUCUCUAUCUCCCACCCUCUUCCCCUGGGGUUGAGAAGUGUAACCAUCACUUUUGCUUCCAGAGAUCAUCAUGUGUGACAUCGCUUAAUGUUUGUUGGUGUAAGGCUUUAAAACUGGACCAGCUUUAACUUGAGUUUGUUGGCCUUCAUAACCAAGCAAAGAAGACAACUUCACAUCUUCUCAAGGAACUUGUUCCAUUGCCUACUUAUUGGAGCUACAAUGUUCACUCAGUUUAUUAGACCAACAUGAUUUUCUUAACCAGGUGACAAUCCUACCAGUUACUGUUUCAGUUAGGGAAAAUGCCUAAUAUAGUCAACUUAAAGCUUGCCACCACAGAGUGUCUUACCCAUAAAGGCACAUUCUACUUAUUUUAAUAGGAGCGUUGCAUGCAAAGAUGGAGAUUUGCAUUGUAAAGCGGUUUACAAUACUUCGUGUUAUGGCUUUGAAACAAAAAUUGCAUUUGGUUCUAGUGUUUCCUAGGAGAGUUUAACCAACCUAUGCUUCCCCCUGUCUUUUUCCAGUUGGCUGAAUAUUUAUCAUUUUGUAAAUCAGAAGUUUAGUAUGGACUGAAGGAAUAGAGUCCUAGAAGGCUGCUCAGAGGCAUCAUAAGUAGUCUGCUUUUCGAGUCAUCCUGACUUUGAAAAAGAAACAUUAAGGUAUCAUUUACUCCAUUGACCUGACUUUCCAUAGAGAGAACAGUUAAUGAAAGACCCCAUUGUGUGUUCAUACAGUUAAGUACAGACUACUAGAAAGAUUUUAUGGACAUAGCCAUAAAAAGAGCCUGUAGGCCAAAACCGAUCUUACAGUUACUUUUCUGUUAUACAACUGGAAGCACCUGCUCCAUUGCAAUGCCUUUUGAAAACUAUCAUUUUUUAAAGUCCUUAUCUGUACCCAAGCUACCCCCUGUAAUGAUCCACUGUAUUCCAUGCAUGUCUAUAUGUGGGAAGCUAUUCAGAAUUCCCAAGUUAUUAGCUGCGUUGAUAUUUGAAAUAUGGACUUGGAUUCCUGUGCUUAUUUCACAAAAUGAGAUAGAAAAGUCAAUAUAAGGUUGGAUAAUUGAAGAGCCAAUAUAACAGUGGGGGAAUUAAAUACUACAGCUAAGACCACAUUCCUGUGGACACUUUAUUACACACAGUGGGAUUUUACUUCUGAGUAAACAUGCAUAGGAUUGUCCUGUUAAUGGCUCUUCUGUAGUACCAGGAAGCCAUGCUCUGAUAUGUGGGUGGAGCAGGAAAUGAUGUCACAGUAAUGGAAUUGUUGGCUUGUUCGAGUGUAAGGUGUUGGAUUGUUGGAGUGUAAGGUGAGAAUAAUCUUUCUGCCAUUUAUUAGCCAUUUUAUGAUAGGGACCCAAACUGUGAUUUUGGGGGGGAGGUAGUGGUUUGGAUUAUUAGAGUAGACCCAUUGAAAUGAAGAAUUGUUAGUCCUUCUGAUUUCCGUGGGUGUGCUCUAAGCCUGACUAUGUCUGGAUCCAACCCAGAAUAUAGUGCAAGGACAUCUGUUGUUUGUCUGAGCUAUAUUUGAGAAGCAGGGGAGAUUUUGUAGCUUCCUACUGCACUUCUUUGUAAAUCUGUUCUCACCCUAAAUAAGUCUCUUCUGAAGCAUGUUGCUUUCUUGUUUGCCUUUAUUUGUUUUGACAACUUUGCCAACAUGUUAUGGCGGUGUCUGGCUUUCUAAGCUUUUAGUAAAUCUUGAUAGAACUGAAGAUGUACAAAGUAAAGCC
rnacentral:lncRNA from 1 species